rnacentral:misc_RNA from 1 species
GAUGAAGAACGUAGCGAAAUGCGAUAAGUAAUGUGAAUUGCAGAAUUCAGUGAAUCAUCGAAUCUUUGAACGCACAUUGCGCCCGCCAGUAUUCUGGCGGGCAUGCCUGUUCGAGCGUCAUUUCAACCAUCAAGCCCCCGGGCUUGUGUUGGGGACCUGCGGCUGCCACAGGCCCUGAAAAGCAGUGGCGGGCUCGCUGUCACACCGAGCGUAGUAGCAUACAUCUCGCUCUGGGCGUGCUGCGGGUUCCGGCCGUUAAACCACCUUUUAACCCAAGGUUGACCUCGGAUCAGGUAGGAAGACCCGCUGAACUUAAGCAUAUCAAUAAGCGGAGGA